CUUAGAAAAAUCUAGAAAAUCCUGGAAAAACCCUAAAAAUCCCUCUAGUCGAUGAAAAAUGCGAGGAAGGAAGAGAAGCAAACAUCUUGCUGGCACUGGACUCUGUUUUCGAAGGAGGGGAGCUUCUAAAGCGUACAAGAAAAGGAGAUCUUCACUUGAAGCAAGUAUCUUUCAAUAUGAAUUCAAAUUUACAGGUUAUAGCAAAAAUGAAGAGCAAGCACAUGGCAGGAACAUUCACCAAAAAGAAGAAAUGUAUAGUCACCGGAGUCUGCAGUGAUGUCCAAGCUUGGCCGGGAAGAGAGAAGGAAGACUAAAUAGAAAAGAGGGCAUAUUUCGGAAUUAAAACUGCAGAAAGGAUAAUAGAGUUUGAAUGUGAGAGUAAAAGAGAUAAACAGUUCUGGCUUGAUGGGAUUCAGUAUAUGUUGAAUUGCCAUGCCAAAGCGGCAUAAAUAUAAACAGAAAAUAAGAAAAAAUUAAAAUGGCUGAUAUGGGGUUGCUUUUUCUACUUCUCUUUUACUUUUACUUUGUGAGAUGCUUAUAAAGAUGUACAUUUGAUAGAAUAACUGUAAGAUUUCGCCAAGGACAUUGAUAGAGUACAAUGAUUUCAAUGAAGAGGCAUAGGAU